rnacentral:rRNA from 1 species
GAUUGAACGCUGGCGGCAAGCUUAACACAUGCAAGUCGAACGGUAACAGGAAGAAAGCUUGCUUUCUUUGCUGACGAGUGGCGGACGGGUGAGUAAUGCUUGGGAAUCUGGCUCAUGGAGGGGGAUAACUACGGGAAACUGUAGCUAAUACCGCGUAAUAUCGAGAGAUUAAAGGGUGGGACCGCAAGGCCACCUGCCAUGAGAUGAGCCCAAGUGGGAUUAGGUAGUUGGUGAGGUAAAGGCUCACCAAGCCGACGAUCUCUAGCUGGUCUGAGAGGAUGACCAGCCACACUGGAACUGAGACACGGUCCAGACUCCUACGGGAGGCAGCAGUGGGGAAUAUUGCACAAUGGGGGGAACCCUGAUGCAGCCAUGCCGCGUGAAUGAAGAAGGCCUUCGGGUUGUAAAGUUCUUUCGGUAGCGAGGAAGGCAUUUAGUUUAAUAGACUAGAUGAUUGACGUUAACUACAGAAGAAGCACCGGCUAACUCCGUGCCAGCAGCCGCGGUAAUACGGGGGGUGCGAGCGUUAAUCGGAAUAACUGGGCGUAAAGGGCACGCAGGCGGUGACUUAAGUGAGAUGUGAAAGCCCCGGGCUUAACCUGGGAAUUGCAUUUCAUACUGGGUCGCUAGAGUACUUUAGGGAGGGGUAGAAUUCCACGUGUAGCGGUGAAAUGCGUAGAGAUGUGGAGGAAUACCGAAGGCGAAGGCAGCCCCUUGGGAAUGUACUGACGCUCAUGUGCGAAAGCGUGGGGAGCAAACAGGAUUAGAUACCCUGGUAGUCCACGCUGUAAACGAUGUCGAUUUGGGGGUUGGGCUUUAAGCUUGGCGCCCGUAGCUAACGUGAUAAAUCGACCGCCUGGGGAGUACGGCCGCAAGGUUAAAACUCAAAUGAAUUGACGGGGGCCCGCACAAGCG